AGGAGCCACUCCAGGACUCAGG
rnacentral:miRNA from 1 species